rnacentral:sRNA from 1 species
CUAUGGAAAAUCGUCAUUGCAAGAAAAGUUUACAAACAUGG